UGGGGAAUAUUGCACAAUGGGCGCAAGCCUGAUGCAGCCAUGCCGCGUGUGUGAAGAAGGCCUUCGGGGUUGUAAAGCACUUUCAGCGAGGAGGAAGGUGGUGAACUUAAUACGUUCAUCAAUUGACGUUACUCGCAGAAGAAGCACCGGCUAACUCCGUGCCAGCAGCCGCGGUAAUACGGAGGGUGCAAUGCAAUGUUAUCGGAAUUUAACUGGGCGUAAGAGCAUCGCAGGCGGUUUGUUAAGUCAGAUGUGAAAUCCCCGGGCUCAACCUGGGAACUGCAUUUGAAACUGGCAAGCUAGAGUCUCGUAGAGGGGGGUAGAAUUCCAGGUGUAGCGGUGAAAUGCGUUAGAGAUCUGGAGGAAUACCGGUGGCGAAGGCGGCCCCCUGGACGAAGACUGACGCUCAGGUGCG
rnacentral:rRNA from 1 species